GUGCAGAUUAUUCCCAGUUCCCCAUACACUUACACAGUUGGAAGCUGGUGAGCAAAGCAAAGAGGGAACAUGUGUACGACAUGCUUAAGCGGGUCUUUUACUAUGAGGACGAUGCCGGAGGAAAAA